rnacentral:rRNA from 1 species
UACGGAAGGUCCGGGCGUUAUCCGGAUUUAUUGGGUUUAAAGGGAGCGUAGGCCGGAGAUUAAGCGUGUUGUGAAAUGUAGACGCUCAACGUCUGCACUGCAGCGCGAACUGGUUUCCUUGAGUACGCACAAAGUGGGCGGAAUUCGUGGUGUAGCGGUGAAAUGCUUAGAUAUCACGAAGAACUCCGAUUGCGAAGGCAGCUCACUGGAGCGCAACUGACGCUGAAGCUCGAAAGUGCGGGUAUCGAACAGGAUUAGAUACCCUGGUAGCGCACUGACU